UGCUGUUAAAAGAAGCCAAGUGAAGCAGGGAACUGAUAAACAAGGUUUGUUAAUAUUUAACGCAAGCCAGCUCCAAGAAGUGGCGGGAGGUGGGGAAGAAGGAGGUUUUAAAUUACUUUUCCUACAGGUGUAACUGAUGUGCAUGUGCAAAUCCAGAGGGCUGAUCCAUACAUCAUUCAUUAAAUCCUGUGGAGUUUGAGCUCCACCAGCCGCUGUGAACUCCUAUCACCUGCAGCUACAGGGUUUGGUUCCCACUUAAAUGGCACAGGUGCCAUGGUAGGGCUGCAGCACUAGACCCACCACAGGUAAGGAGAAUCAGUCUGGGGUCAGGUGGCCACAUCUACUCUUUUAUAAGGAUAGGAAUAGUGGGGUCAGUGCUGUUGCAAGCCAACCUCUGUCUCAGCAGCCCCAUUUUACAUUGCUGUAAGUUCAGUCCAGCUUUCUCAAAUAUCUUUUUGUAGAAAUCUUGGUGACCUGAUCAUCUGAGCAAGGCACUUCUGAGAGAAAACAAAAUCUGUGGUCUUUAAAAAAUUGUACAGAAUGGGGCGUAAUAGCAUACCUAUCGAGGGAUAAAGCAUUAUCUUCUUCGCACAGGAAGGUAUUUAUGGUAAACAGGAUAAUGCUAAAACAUCAUAAACUGUUACGAUAUUCAUCAUUGAUUAAUUCAUAGUCUCUUUCUUACUGGAAUACGGGUUAAAGUUCUGCAACAUUAUUCCCCUAUCCCAUUUUAGAGGGACACGUGAGCAGCACUGAUCAGAGGGGCAGAAAUCAGAUGAGAUGUGUUUAUGAGGUGUCAGGGCAGCAGGAAGCCCGUCCCUGCUUCUGAUGCUAUAUCACACCUGUUUAUCCAUCUGUCCCCAGAGCCUUCCUAUGACCUGCACUGGGUGCUGCCCUGUCACACAGAUCAACCCACCAAGCUUUUAUGUCAUGAAGCAGAUCAGCAUCUUCAAUCCCAUGGUUAAUAGACAAUCCAAACACGAGGUAAAUCUGGACCAAAGGACACACUUUGCCAGAUGGGCGAAAGCAACCUACAUUUUCCUUGGUCCCACUGCCACGACUGAUGACAGAUUUUCCUGCAGAACUCCAGGCAGGCUAGCAUUAAAACAAGAAAAAGCAGUCCAUCCAAACAUUUGUAGUGGCUGAAGCUGGCAGUGAAGUUGUCCCCUUCCUUCAUUACACAUGCUGACCCUGGUGCUCGUCCUUAGGUCAGGUGAGCUCUGCAUGGAAGAUGGAGCUUGCCCUGUUAAUCCUCUGUCAGCUGAGCUGAAUUUAUGACGCAUGGGAUGGGUGUGAGGACGAGGGGAGUGCACCCUACCCUAAUGGCAGCUGCCUGUUCUUCGAGCAGAUGGAGCCUCUCUUGACUGGUAACCCCACUUGAGCGUGACCAAUGGGCUGAGAUACCACACCUGAGAAGGGCCACAGGCAGAUUCACUGUCUGUGCUUUAUCAGCAAAGCUACGAGCAGCCCCUGGUGCCCUCGUGCUGCUUGGGCAGUGUCACCACACAGGGGAGCAGGUUGGUCUCCCUUAGGAGAUCUGCACGCCAAAGCGAGCUGCACUACAGGAUGUUUAUUAUCCUGCUCUGGGUUAUAAGCGCUUAGUUAUGAAUUCUUUGUAGCAAGAAGGUGGCGAUGCAAAAAUAAAUGUUUACAGAUAAA